UAUGAUACACAUAGAACUGAACAUUUUGAGCAAGGAAUCCCUAGUUGAAUGAUUACCAAUAUCAUUACUCAAUACUGAAACUUACAAAGUCAUCUUUUUGAAGAUCGAAGAAAUUCCCCGGCUUUGAUAAAAUUUUUUAAUCGACUUUUGUCCUUUUAAUUGACAAAGACCUAUUGACAAAGACCCGUUUAUGUGUUAAGAUCAAAUUUGUUAAGAUAAAAUUAGAGUAACAAGCAGAGAACUGAGUAACAAGCAGAAAACUAAAAAUCCUCAUGUUAACGAACGGUUCCAAUUGGGAAG
rnacentral:lncRNA from 1 species